rnacentral:rRNA from 1 species
AAUUGGAGGGCAAGUCUGGUGCCAGCAGCCGCGGUAAUUCCAGCUCCAAUAGCGUAUAUUAAAGUUGUUGCAGUUAAAAAGCUCGUAGUUGAAUUUCGGGAUCAAUAUUUCGGUCAUGCCGUUGGUAUGCACUGUUAUCAUUGAUUUCUCACCUUCUAAAGAACCGUAAUGCCAUUAAUUUGGUGUUACGGGGAAUUAGGACUGUUACCUUGAAAAAAUUAGAGUGUUUAAAGCAGGCUCACGCUUGAAUACAUUAGCAUGGAAUAAUGAAGUAGGACAUCCGAUUCUAUUUUGUUGGUUUCUAGGAUCGAUGUAAUGAUUAAUAGGGAUAGUUGGGGGCAUUAGUAUUCAAUUGUCAGAGGUGAAAUUCUUGGAUUUAUUGAAGACUAACUACUGCGAAAGCAUUUGCCAAGGAUGUUUUCAUUAAUCAAGAACGAAAGUUAGGGGAUCGAAGACGAUCAGAUACCGUCGUAGUCUUAACCAUAAACUAUGCCGACUAGGGAUCGGAUGAUGUUAAUUUUUUAAUGACUCAUUCGGCGCCUUACGGGAAACCAAAGUGU